GAUCAUGGCUCAGGAUGAACGCUAGCGGCAGGCCUAACACAUGCAAGUCGAGGGGCAGCACGGUGUAGCAAUACACUGGUGGCGACCGGCGCACGGGUGCGUAACGCGUAUGCAACCUACCCAUAACAGGGGGAGUAACACUGAGAAAUUGGUACUAAUACCCACUAACAUCAGGACCGGGCCGAUCGGUUCCGUUGGUUUGGUAAAACUAACCGGUCGGGUUAGUUGGUAGUGGGCGGAUGCGUUGGUUAUUAGUACUGGUUUGGG
rnacentral:rRNA from 1 species